GUUUUUUUCUUCUUCUUUUUCAU
rnacentral:sRNA from 1 species